CAGAUUAUGUGGUUGCAAUAAACAUGCAGCUGGAUUCUCUGACUGAACUCUCAGAAUCGGAGAUAAAUGACGCUUUGGCAGAGUUCUUCAAAAGUCAAGGAAUACAACCGCAGUUCAAUCUGAAGGUUCGUUUGGCUGCACCAUAAGAAGAGAAAAUCCAAGAAGUGAAGGACAAUGAGUUAGCAACAUGUUUUUCUAAUUGUUAUGUUCUCUAUUUAAAUAAAAGGAAAUGUUUUCUGUA